AUUGAACGCUGGCGGCAUGCCUUACACAUGCAAGUCGAACGGCAGCACGGGAGCAAUCCUGGUGGCGAGUGGCGAACGGGUGAGUAAUAUAUCGGAACGUGCCCAGUCGUGGGGAUAACGUAGCGAAAGCUACGCUAAUACCGCAUACGAUCUAUGGAUGAAAGCGGGGGAUCGCAGGACCUCGCGCGAUUGGAGCGGCCGAUAUCAGAUUAGGUAGUUGGUGAGGUAAAGGCUCACCAAGCCGACGAUCUGUAGCUGGUCUGAGAGGACGACCAGCCACACUGGGACUGAGACACGGCCCAGACUCCUACGGGAGGCAGCAGUGGGGAAUUUUUGGACAAUGGGCGCAAGCCUGAUCCAGCAAUGCCGCGUGCAGGAUGAAGGCCUUCGGUUGGU
rnacentral:rRNA from 1 species